rnacentral:rRNA from 1 species
UACGUAGGGGGCAAGCGUUAUCCGGAUUUACUGGGUGUAAAGGGAGCGUAGGUGGUAUGGUAAGUCAGAAGUGAAAGCCCAGGGCUCAACCCUGGGACUGCUUUUGAAACUAUCAGACUAGAGUGCAGGAGAGGUAAGUGGAAUUCCUAGUGUAGCGGUGAAAUGCGUAGAUAUUAGGAGGAACACCAGUGGCGAAGGCGGCUUACUGGACUGUAACUGACACUGAGGCUCGAAAGCGUGGGGAGCAAACAGG